AGGUAUGUAGCUCAGUGGUAGAGCACAUGCUUUGCAUGUAUGGGGUCCCGGGUUCAGAAUCAUAUUUU
rnacentral:tRNA from 1 species